CCCAUCUCCUCUUGUCCUGUCCCUGGGCACCACUGAGAAAAGACUGGCCCCAUCCUCCUGACACCCACCCUUUAAUAUUUACAGGUGUUGAUAGAUCUCCCCUCAGCCUUCUCUUCUCCAGACUAAAAAGCCCCAAGACCCUCAGCCUCUCCUCAUCAGAGAGAUGCUCCAGGCCCCUAAAGAAACAAGAUGGGACAGUGGUGGCAAGGGAUGGUGGAUGAUGAAUGUCCCAUGGGCGAUGUGGCUGCAUCCUGCCAGCCCUGGUGGCAUCACUACAGUUGCUGUGGCAACUUUCUUCACCACUUUUCUCAAGAACAGGCCGAAUGGAAACAGAAGCUCCCGCCAGGGAAUUUCCACCCCACGUCGAAAAAAAAACUGAAAAAGUGCUGGAAGCACGGCCUGACCUCUGGGAUCCCACACGUGGCCCCGCAGAGCAGGUGUGUGAGGAUGAUGCUGUGUGUAGCCCUGCAUCCCCGUGGGAGAUGAACCUGUGGAGAGGUGUGAGGCUGCCAGAAGGACGAGGCAGAGCCCUGGUGGGUGACAAACCGGUCUGAAGUCCCGCAGUGAUUUAACUUUCAGGCUCCUGCCUUUGGCUGAGGCACACGGGUUCUCCUGCACGUGCUUUGGACACUACAGGUGGGAAAUCAGAGGUGCAGGUCUGCUGGGAGCUGCUGGUCCUGGGCAUGCCCGGCUUGAUACAUCCCAUAUCAACCAAGAUACCUCGGGCUGCAGUGAGGGGGUGGGCAUUGGAUGGAGGGACUGUCCUGCGUGGCUGAGAGCACCCUGCUCUUGGGUACCUCACCUGGAGCCCUGUGUCCAGCUCUGGAGUCCUCAGUGCAGGAAGGACAUGGAGGUGUUGGAGUGAGUCCAGAGGAGGUCACAAAGAUGAUCAGAGGGUUGGAGUCCCUCUGCUGUGAGGACAGGCUGAGAGAGUUGGGAGGGUUCUUCCUGAAGAAGGCUCUAGGGAGACCUUGGAGCCCCUUCCAGUCCCUCAAGGGGCUCC
rnacentral:lncRNA from 1 species